CCUACGGGUGGCAGCAGUGAGGAAUAUUGGUCAAUGGACGAGAGUCUGAACCAGCCAAGUAGCGUGAAGGAUGACUGCCCUAUGGGUUGUAAACUUCUUUUAUAUGGGAAUAAAAUGUUCCACGUGUGGGAUUUUGUAUGUACCAUCUGAAUAAGUAUCGGCUAACUCCGUGCCAGCAGCCGCGGUAAUACGGAGGAUCCGGGCGUUAUCCGGAUUUAUUGGGUUUAAAGGGAGCGUAGGUGGAUUGUUAAGUCAGUUGUGAAAGUUUGCGGCUCAACCGUAAAAUUGCAGUUGAAACUGGCAGUCUUGAGUACAGUAGAGGUGGGCGGAAUUCGUGGUGUAGCGGUGAAAUGCUUAGAUAUCACGAAGAACUCCGAUUGCGAAGGCAGUUCACUGGACUGCAACUGACACUGAGGCUCGAAAGUGUGGGUAUCAAACAGGAUUAGAUACCCGUGUAGUC
rnacentral:rRNA from 1 species